rnacentral:lncRNA from 1 species
AGGCAGGCUGUGGCCUAUCCAAGGUCACAAUUAUAAUAGAAAUUAGUGUUGAAACUUGAAUCCAGGUCCUUUGAAUUCAGUCAGUGCUCUUAUAUUGUACUAUGUAAAUUUGAACCUUUAUUUUGUUCUAAUGGAUAUAUUAAUAUUACUAUGUAAACUGAUUCAAACCAACAUACUAUUUCCUAUUCCCCUAAUUCAGUAGAAAUUAUCUGGUAGUCAUUGUGGUGUGAUAGAAAGAGCGUGGGACAGAACGUCAAGAGAUUUGGAUUCUGGUUGCUGAUCUUCCAUUUGCCAUGUAUAUGAUUCUACAAGUCUAAAUACAAAGAAUAUUCAACAUCUGAGAAGUGAUGUUUGCAAUAUCACCAAAACAGUAUUCUCAGACGAUACGGGCUGGUCAUAUAGAAUGAUCAAGACAGAACAGAUGGACAACCCAAGUACUAUCUGGAACCUAAAUGUUAAAAGACCAAGAGGAAGGUAAAGACCAACAAGAGAUAGAAAAGAAACUAAUAAGAAUUUUC